UACAGGGGGGGCAAGCGUUGUUCGGAAUUACUGGGCGUAAAGGGCCAGUAGGCGGCCAACUAAGUCACACGUGAAAUCCCCGGGCUUAACCCGGGAACUGCGUGUGAUACUGGAUGGCUUGAAUUCGGGAGAGGGAUGCAGAAUUCCAGGUGUAGCGGUGAAAUGCGCAGAUAUCAGGAGGAACACCGAGUGGCGAAGGCAGCUCGCUGGGACGGUACUGACG
rnacentral:rRNA from 1 species